UACGUAGGGUGCAAGCGUUAAUCGGAAUUACUGGGCGUAAAGCGUGCGCAGGCGGUUUUGUAAGUCUGUUGUGAAAUCCCCGGGCUUAACCUGGGAAUGGCAAUGGAGACUGCAAGGCUAGAGUUUGGCAGAGGGGGGUAGAAUUCCACGUGUAGCAGUGAAAUGCGUAGAUAUCGGGAGGAACACCAGUGGCGAAGGCGGUUGCCUGGAGCUUUGCUGACGCUGAUGCGCGAAAGCGUGGGGAGCGAUCCGG
rnacentral:rRNA from 1 species